rnacentral:rRNA from 1 species
UACAGAGGUCCCAAGCGUUGUUCGGAUUCACUGGGCGUAAAGGGUGCGUAGGUGGUGAGGUAAGUCGGAUGUGAAAGCUCGGAGCUCAACUCCGAAAUGGCAUUGGAAACUACCUUGCUCGAGGGUUGGAGGGGAGACUGGAAUACUUGGUGUAGCAGUGAAAUGCGUAGAUAUCAAGUGGAACACCAGUGGCGAAGGCGAGUCUCUGGACAUUUCCUGACGCUGAGGCGCGAAAGCGUGGGGAGCAAACAGG